rnacentral:rRNA from 1 species
GAUGAACGCUAGCUACAGGCUUAACACAUGCAAGUCGAGGGGCAGCACAGAGAUAGCUUGCUAUCUUGGGUGGCGACCGGCGCACGGGUGAGUAACGCGUAUCCAACCUGCCCAUUACUCAGGGAUAGCCUUGCGAAAGUAAGAUUAAUACCUGAUGUUGUUUGAUUGCCGCAUGACGAUCAAACCAAAGAUUUAUUGGUAAUGGAUGGGGAUGCGUGACAUUAGGUAGUUGGUGAGGUAACGGCUCACCAAGCCCACGAUGUCUAGGGGUUCUGAGAGGAAGGUCCCCCACACUGGAACUGAGACACGGUCCAGACUCCUACGGGAGGCAGCAGUGAGGAAUAUUGGUCAAUGGUCGGAAGACUGAACCAGCCAAGUAGCGUGAAGGAUGAAGGUUCUAUGGAUUGUAAACUUCUUUAUACGGGAAUAAAACCUCCACGUGUGGGAGCUUGUAUGUACCGUAUGAAUAAGCAUCGGCUAACUCCGUG